rnacentral:tRNA from 1 species
AGGUGCAUAAUUAACAUAUAAUAUUUGAUUUGCAAUCAACCAUAGCCCCCGGGCUGCGCCUA